AUUUUCACCUGGAAUGACAAGAGUUUAAUUCCAGACUGAGAGAGGUCCUGUCUGAGGAAUUUUUACCGAGACUAACGGAGUUUUACCUCAGCCGGACAGGCCCAGAGCAGAGCAGGAACUGGAGACUGCGGCCUUAGGUUCUAGGGCUGCAAUGGUCAGUAAGUCUCGUAGCUGGUGAUUGGAAGAUAAGCAAAAAGUGUAAAGAUAGACAGGUUCCAGGCAAUUCCUUGGUGUUAUGAAGUCAGGAUCUUGCCUUGGUUUUGAUGACUUAGCUUCUGUUUGGUACAUCUGUUUUUGCAGAGUGUUUCAUGACUAAGUUCAGUAAAUGAUACUUAUUUGAAGAACUGGAUUUACUCAGGUUCAACCCUCCCAGACACAUACACACCAAAGGCUCUGACUCCAAAAUAACAGCAACUGGAUCCCUCUCCCUUUGGUGAGGUGGCCCUUGCCUUUGGGUGAUGCUGUGAGUUUUUUUCAAGACCUGGCUCGUGAAAGACUGGAUUUCCGCAGAAUGGCCCAGAGACUCACAACAUUAAAAAAAAAAA